UGGGAAACAUACUUCUUUAUAUGCCCAUAUGGACCUGCUAAGCUAUGGAAUGUAAAGAAGUAUGUAUCUCA
ensembl:miRNA microRNA 1-1